UGAGUCUUUGAACACGUCUGAAGUCUGAAAAAAGCAAAAUAGUUAAAACAGUGUGCGAGCGGAGCAGCGGACGGGACAUUUUCUGUCUGUCUUUGGCCCGUGUGUUAAAUGGGAUGGGAGGAGAUCACUGCAGGUGUGAGUAGUCUUCACACACUUACAUAUAACUCUAUAAAACGGCGAACACACACACACAUGAAAUACAAGUGAUGCUUCAUCCACAGUCAUGGCAUCCCAACUUUCCUUUCUGUUUGGCAUCCGACACACUGGUCAGCUACAGGGAGACAUACACACACAGGGAUUAAAACAAAUCAAACAAAUAAAGUGUGGGAUCUAGUUAACAUGCCAAUACCAUUUACAAUAGAUAUGAGAACAGAGAAGAGAAGGAGUAG